UAGGAGUUAGUCUCAAUAUAAAUUUUUAUUUAAGAUCAAUUUUAUAGUGUUAGCAGAAUUAGAUAUUUUGUGUUUUGCUUGACGAACAAAUAAACUCAACUCUAUAAAUAUGGAGUAACCCAUAUUAUUGUAAAAGUACACUUACUUGCCGUUGUAAAGAAUAAAUUUUUCAGUUUGAAAACAGAGAGAAACUCUGCAGAAAUUUCUUCUUCUUUUUCCUUAUUCGAAAAUUUAAUCUCUCUUUCUUCUCUGAUUCAAAUUUAUUUCUUUUCAUUACCAUUGUGCAUCAAAAUCUUGCAAACAAGGUUGGUUGAUUCACUCGACUAAAGAGUAAAAAACAAUAUGAGUAAUCAACUAGAAAUAUUGAUUCUUGUUCAUCAAGAUUCGGUUCGGAAUUCUCCAUAGAUUUUGGUGAAUUUCUUGAAGGAAAAUGGUGAAUUUCCAACAUCUGGUAUCUAGAGCAUUGGUUGAGUGAUUCGUCAGAAGGAAAACACGAUGGUGAUGAAUCAUCCCAACGACUAUUUUUCGGCGAGUCUCCCAAUUCUGAAGAAUCAUAAUUAUGAGAAUUGGUGCAAGCAGAUAAAGAUUGUCUUUUGCUAUCAAGAUCUUUGGGAUCUUGUGAAGGAUGGAGUGACAUCGCUUGCAGCAAACACGACGAAUGAAGAAAAGGCUGCACACAAAGAAUACAAGAAGAAAGAUUAUAAGACUCUCUUUAUGAUCCAUCAAUGCAUUUAUGCGGAAAAUUUUGAAAAGGUUAAUGAUGUUGAAUCAGCGAAAGAAGCAUGGGAAAUUCUUAUAAAAUCAUUUGGAAGCGCAUAAAAGGUGAAAGAAAUGACGUUACAAACUCACAAAAGAACGUAUGAAUUGCUUCAAAUGGAAGACAAUGAAAGCUUAACUGAUUUUUUCAUUAGGAUUACAAAACUGGUGAAUCAAAUUUAGGUAUAUGGAGAAGUGUUGACAUCAAGAUCAGCUGUUUCAAAGAUCUUGAGGUCAUUGGUUCCAAAGUUCGACCACAUGGUAGUAGCCAUAGAAGAGUCAAAAUAUUUGUCAACAUUGACAAAGGAAGAGCUUCAAGGCACACUUUAAUCUCAUGAACAAAUAAUGGUUGAAAGAGCAGUAGGAAAGUCGAAGAGUGAUGUGGCUUUGCAGAUGCAAUCAGCAUGAGAAAAUAAAGGCAAAGGGAAAUGGUUCAACAAUAAAAGAAUAAGAGGCUAUAAUAAUUCGACUGGACGAAAUCAACAAGAAGGAGGCUGGUCGAAUCAAAGAAAUAUCUCAUACCAAAGCAACCAAAAAGGUGGUGGUGCAGGUAGAGGAAGAGGUGGUGGUCAAAAACCUGAAAAAAGGCACAUUCAAUGUUUCAAUUGUUAGAAGUAUGGUCACUACUCUAGUGAUUGUCCUAAAAAAUAAAAGAAUCAAGAUAAUGAUGCAAAGUUUGCAAAGCAUGAAGAAGAAGAAAUGUUGUUGAUGGUCACAACAAGGGAGGAAGAAAGAUUCCAGGAAAAAUAGUACUUGAACUCAGGAUGCUCAUCACACAUGACUGGUAGGAAAGAUUAGUUUGUCAACAUGAAACCCUCAAUGAAGAAUAUGGUGAAAUUUGUAAAUGACAAUACUCUAGCAGCUGACGGUAUUGGUGAUGUUUUGAUUAUGAGGAAAUAUGGAAAAAGGUCAGUAACUUUCAAUGUACUGUACAUACCCGUCAUGAAAAGUAAUUUGCUCGGCAAAUGGAAGUUGGUUGAAAAGAAAUACAAAGUGUCGAUCGAAGAGAAAAUGAUUAGAGUUCUCAAUUCAGGUGAAAGUUUAAUCUUGAAGGCACCUAUGUCUCAGAAUAGAACCUACAUGAUUGAACUUAAUAUGAUGGAGCAUAAGUGCCUUGCAACUACAACUAGAGGGGAUGAAUAAAUAUGGCACUAUAGACUUGGUCAUCUCAACUUCAAAGACAUCAUAGAUCUGAAGAGAAGAGAUAUGGUUUCAGGGUUAACAUAAAUUGACAUUUCAAAUGAAGUAUGUGAGAAAUGUGUGUAGAGAAAGCAACACAAGAACAUCUCCAGCAAGGAUACAUGAAGCAAGUCGAAGGCAAUCCUUGAAGUCAUAUACUCGGAUAUGUGUGGUCCUCUCUAGGUGGAUUCUAUUGGAGGUAACAGAUACUUUCUCACAUUCAUAGAUGAUUUAAGUUGAAAAUUAUGUACUUACCUGAUCAAGAAGAAGAGUGAAGUGAUCGAGGUAUUUUCCAAUUUUAAAUUUAUGGUCGAGAGACAAAAUGGUCGAAAGCUCAAUAUUCUGAAGACUGAUGGUGGUUGAGAAUAUGUGUCGAUAGACUUCUAGAUGUUAUGUGAGAAAGAAAGGAUUGUGCAUUAGGUGGUACCACCCUACACUCCACAACAGAAUGAAACUGCAGAAAAAAGAAUAGAACCAUCAUUAGUAUGGUGAGAAAUAAGUUGAAAGGAAAGCAUCUACCCAAAGAAUUAUGGGGAGAAGUUGUAUCGAUAACAACAUAUAUUUUGAACAGAUGUUCAAAGAAGAAGCUAGAAGGAAUCACACCAGAAGAAUGUUGGUCUGGUGUCAAGCCUAGCUUGACUCAUAUGAAAGUAUUUGGAUCCAUAACACGUAGACAUGUGCCAGAUCAGUUGAGAAGAAAACUUGAUGACAAGUCGAGUCAGAUGAUCAUAAUAGGGUAUUAUUCGACUGGAGGUUACAAGUUGUUUGACCCAAUGAAUAAGCAACUAGUGAUCGGCAAGGACAUGAUCAUAGAUGAGCUUAAAUAAUGGGAUUUGACUAAAAAUGUCAAGAAAUAUUCAGUGAGAAUAUUAUGUGAAGAACUAGCAAGUGAAGUUAAAAGAGAAGUUUGACAAGAAGAAGUCAAAUGUCAAGCAAGCACAAGAAGACCUUAGAGAACAAGAAACAUGUCUACAAGGUUACAGGAAUGUGUUUCUUUCAAUUACUAUCGUGCACCGGAAUCUUGCAACUUAGUUUGGUUGAUUCACUCGACUGAAGAGUGAAGAACAGGAGGAGUAAUCAAUCAGAAAGAUUGAUUCUUGUUCAUCAAGAUUCGGUUCGGAAUUCUCAAUAGGUUUUAGUGAAUUUCUUGAAGGGAAAUUGGUGAAUUUCCAACAAAAUGAACAUCAAAAUUUUAAAUUUCAAGUUUCUUGUGAAUAAUAACAAAUUAUCGUAUACAAAUUUAUUAAGGGACAUUAUAGAUAAAAAUAUAGGUUAAAAAAGGAAUAUCUCAUCGAUUUUCUAAGAAAAAUGUGAGAUAGAGACCAAAAUUAUUUGAAUUUAAAAUAGGGGACUAAUUUCUAAAAUUUCUAAGAAGAUGUAGUGAUAAACAUAUGAUAUUUAUUGAUUUGUUGACAUUCUUCAAAUGGAAAUAUGACUACAUGGUUAGACAUAUAUAUCAGUAAAUAGAGAAAAGUAUGUUGUCAAUCUUUUCAAGAAAGAAUGUUCAUGUAGAAUGUGGAUGCUGCCAGGACUGCCAUGCUGUCAUGCAUGAAGGAUCAACAUUUACAAAUUGAUGAUUUUGUACCUGACUGUUAUAAGAAGGAAUUCUAUGAAACUUUAUAUUCACCAGUUAUUUAUCCAGUUAAUGGGGAAGCUUUGUGGACUAAAUCUGAUGUUGUUGAUCUCCAUCCACCACUAAUAAAGAGACAACCUGGAAGGCCCAAGAAAAAGAGGAAUAGAAAAUUUGGAGAAAUGGUGAGGGAUGAGACACACUUGAAAAGGGCAAACCAUGGAAUCAAAUGCAGUCUUCGCCACAAGGAAGGUCACAAUAAGGCCACCUCUAAACUGCCACAACCAGUAGUACCUCCAACUCAGGUAGAAGAAGGAGUCUCAACUCAGGAACCACAAGCAAUAAUUCCAACAGCUACCACAACCAACAUUUUCAAUUCAGCCACCACAACCAACAAUUUCAAGUCAACCACCACCCAAAAAGAAAAGAAAAAACUUCAAAAGGGUGGGAAGCCUGCUUCAAGUCAACUUUGAUGUUUGUUGUGAUGUUUGUUAUACCUUAUAAAAGAUUUUUGUAAUAUUACUUUAGUGCCUUAUAGUGGCUUAUUGACAAUGACUUAUAAUUCCUUUUUGUAAUGUUAUGUUAGUGCCUUAUAAUGGCUUAUUGACAAUGGUUUGUAAUGCCUUUUUAUAAUGUUAUUGAUAUUUCUUAUAGUGUAAUGAUAAUGGCUUAUAAUGCCUUUUUGUAUCAUUUUUUUGGAAUUUUAUAGAUAUGCAUUAUAACAGGUUAUAUUUUGUUCCAACUUUUAUACCAGUUAUGUAUCAGUGUUAAAACAAAGAAUAAUGUACAAACAUAACACUUUGUUAAAACAGACACUGACAUUCUUCAUUAAAUAAACAGAAGACUACAUUCAUAUUAUGAAAACAAAAUACUAAAUUAUCCUAAUCCUAAUUGAAAUACAUUGUUAAAAACACAAGGUUCAACCCUAAGCUCAACAUCCCAACCAUAAUGGACAUUUUCGACCAUCCUUUAGUGUGGAUAACCUCAUUCUUCAACUUUUUAAUUUUAUUCUUUUGUCUUUCAAGCUUCAAAUCCCUUUCAUCAACACAUUCAUCCCCUAACCACUUGAAGAAAUUACACCCCUUGUCCAUGUGAUUUUUAUAAUUUCUACAACCCCAAAAUUUUCUCUCAUAGUUGAAAUUGUUCACAUCACUAACAAUACAAAUAACACUAUCAUCUUGGAAAAAACACUUCAUUAUCUUGUUUCUACGACACACAUAUUCAGAUGUACCAAAGCUUGUUAUUGAAGCACUGCUUGCAUUCUUAGACAUUGAAGCACCGGUGGAAGAUGGAGGAAUUCGAAUGCACAAUGAAAGAUGGAAGAUGGAAGAUGGAUGUAUGAACAGUGAAAAAUGGAGGAGGAAGAUGAAGAUUGGAAAAACACAAACCCUAAAUGGUUUAUGACAUAAUAACUGAGCGUUAACUUGAAUGAUUGCAGACCUGACAUUGCCACCUGAGUCAUACUUAACAUUUUUUCAUCCUAACUAACGGAAAGGACCAAAUAUUUUAACUAAAGAGAAGUUAAGGUACCAAUACGUAACGUUUUUUAGUUAGGGGACCAACACGAAACUUCGUUUAAAGUUAAGGGAUCUAAGGACUAAUUAUGCAUAUAUUUAUUAUAGUAUAUUAAGACCAUAGUGUGAAGAUUAAUUAGAGUUUUUAUUAUUUUAAAAUUGAAUAUUCUCACUUUUUUCACUCAUGUUUAAAUUCAUAUUAACUAAUUAGGUAAAUGGUUAAUUAUCUAUUUUUUUAAAUAGAAUUUUAAUUAAUUUUUUAAAAUUGUAUUUAAUCACUUAAUCUAUUAAAAUAUUUAAUGUAAUAAAAUAGUUAAUAUAAUUAAUAUAAAUAUGUCUAUAUAAUAAUUAUUAGAGAAUAAUAAAUAAAUAAUAUUUAUAUAAAAAUAUAUUCCAACAAUUAUUCAAUUAAAUAAUAUGUUUUAAUAAUUAUUUUAAAAUUCUUUAAGCGCGUAUUUGAAUUUAUUUAUUUUAAUAUUUCAACUUUAUAACCGGGUCUAACACUUUAGGGUGCCAUACCCACCAUUUAUUUAGAGAAAAGAUAUAAUAAAAAAAUAGUUUUUGUAUGUGUAUUGUUUUAUUUGAGUCAAACCCAUUUGAUAAGUGAUUAAAGAGAAAUGAUAUGUGUAAUGUUUCAGGUUUCUUUGCUUUUUAGGAAUUAUGGUAUUAUUUUAUUUUAGGGUUUUUCUUAUUUUGCUUAGUUUAAUUUAUUAUUAAUUAAGUAUAUAUAUAUAUAUAUAUUUUAUUUUAUUUUAUUCAACUUAACUUAGGUAUUAGAAAUUAGAAAUUUUAUUUUAGGUAUUAUGUUGUACUAUUUUGUUUUUUAUUUUAAUUAUUUUAUUUUAAUUUAUUGUAAUUAUUUAAUUUAUUAAAAUUAUUCUUGAAAUAAGGUUGAAACUAAACGUACUAUUAUAUUGUGUUAAUAUGUCUAUAAUUGUUCUCGUUUUAUUUAGUUUCUAAUGAAUUUUUAAAAUAUGUAUUUUAUGAAAUUGUGAAUAUAUAGUUAUGUAUGACUUAUUUAUAAAAUUUAAUUUUAUAUUAUUAAUUUAUUUAAUAAUCGGUUCAACAGUAAAUUUAAUUGAUUGAAUCAAUUGAAUUUUAAAUCAAAAGUCUUGUCCGUUUGAAUUUGUUUUUAAAACAUUAGUUAAAAUAAUAUAUUUAUCAUAAAAAAUUAAUAGCUUUUUAAUUUCUUAUAAUUAGUUUAUUAAUUUUUUGUUAUUAAUCUAUAAUAUAAGAGAAUUAGUUGUUCUAAAAAAGACAUCAAUGCUCUUGCCUUUAAAUCUGCCACCUCUUUAAUUUUGGAUAUUCUUUGUCCAAAUACUACUUUUUCCAACCAAUGUUAUGUUUUGGUUUGAUGCUCACUAAUUAUUUCAUGAAACAAACUGUUUUCAUUUGUUUUCACUAGCUCUUCCAACUAAAAGACUAAUUCAACUUCAAAAGUAACAUUUUGUCAAAUCAAUCUAUGACACUUCCAUCACAAAUUUUCAUUCUCAAUGUUGCAUCACGCACACACAGACACACACUUCAUCCUUCCCAUUAAUAUAUCUUCUCUCGUUAGCGUGAUUCUUUUUCUCUCUUACAUUCAAUAGGUUUUUGAAACCCUUUCUCUCUCUGACAAUUUCUUGGCUCUACAUUUCUUCUUUCUCCAAAGAAUUUCUUCAUUCUCUAGCAUAAUUUCUCCCUUCUCUGUGUUUCAGUUUAGAGACUUACAAGUGAUGUUUUGUUUUGAAUUCUUAUGUUAUUUUGAUUCUUUGUCCCAAUAUUUUUUCAGUCAUGGUUUACAAAAAUUCCUUAUACCAAAAGUUAUUGCAAACCUAUUUUCAUAAACUGAUUUACAUAUUCUUUGUUGCAAACCACAACUUUUUAUCAUUAACGAAAAAUGCUUUAUUGCUUCAUGGUUAAUGAUUUGUUUGAUUCAAUAUUUUCUUGAGUGAUGUUUUGGACGUGUUUUUUUAAGGUUAUUGUUUAUCUUCAACCUUAUACUAGAAUCAAAGAAUUAGUUUCACUCUAGGAUCUGUAAGCUAGGGUUCGAUUUCAAAAUCAAUGCAAAUUUUUGUUAAGUAUUUUGUUAACUACUUAGAUUUAAUUUCUCAUUAUUUUGUUUUUUCUUUUGUGAUUUUUCUUUAUAAUGUUGUUACGUUUUUCAAAUUUAGUUGUUCGAUGUUGGUUGUUUGUUGACUCAUUAUGUAAUUUGUUUCUCACAAUGCACUUGAUUCGACAUGCUCUUUAUUUUUACUAUUUUUUUAAAUUAAUUUUUAGGUGAUUAAAGGUUAAUGUUUGGUUGUUUGAAGGAGAGGUCGAAUGUUUGAAGGUUUUCAGGGGAAGGAGAUGAAGGUGUGUGAAAAAUUGUGGUAUUUUCUAGGUAAGGGAUGAAGAAAUGGAUGAAUAUAAGGGUACUGGGGUUUGAGAUUAUGAAGGAUUGAAGGUGUUUUUUGGGGGAAAUGGAAGAACAGGUUGAAUGUAUAAAGAUUAUGGUGAAGAAUAAUGAAUGAGGUAAAGAUUUCUGAAAAAGAGACGGGUUCCGUUUCACGAAAUUGAUGGUUUUCUAGGGAAUAUUAUGAAGGUUUGAUGAGGGUUUUCUUGUAUAAGUUUGAGGGAACGGGAGAUGAUGAGAGAGAAAAAUUCAAAUAAAAUAAAAUAUAGUUCCUUUUCUUGUGAUUAUCAGGACAGGAAAGAGAUAAGGGAAAUCCAUAGGGGUCAAAUUGGACGUUGCCACGAGUGAAUAUGCGUAGGGAUGAGGAUAUGACCAAAAGAUGGAAAUAGCAGUUAACACAAGGAUGACUUUCUUAUGAUUUGAUAUUGAUCAAUUUAAAAACACAUUGAAUAUGAAAACUGAAUUUUAAUUUACUCCUAUUAUUUUAUAGUUCUCUGUGUCUCUCUGUAUAGUGAAUUAUUUUAUGCUGCAAAGACAGUUACUCAAUGUUUAAGGGAGUUCAAAUUAUGUGUUUAUUUUUUAUCCAACACUUCCCCAUCUCAAGAAUUCUUGCAUGGCUUAAGAGACAUAGAUGUGUUUACUAUAUAUAACUUUUAUCUUUUUCUUUAAUACAUGCUUGAAAAUUAUGAUGAAAUUUUGCGGCCAUCUCAUAUAUCUGGAUAUUUAUACAUUAGAAUUGUACUUACGUUCCAAACCUCUAUUAGUUUACUUUGCAUCGAUCUAUUUGUCAUUGCCUAACAGAUUAGUACUAACUGGAUUUUUCUUUUUUGCUAUAGAGAUGGGUGGCACUACCGAGUGAACCUCCAAGAAUUAAUGAUACCGAUGUAGAUGAUUGGCUUCUUCGCAUUUUUGUUCUUCAGGGUGAAUGUUUAUUCUUAUAUUUGUUCUAUAUAAGUAGUUAACUAACUUCUAUUUUAUAUGCUCAACUGUAGUUUUCUUCACACUUAAAUGCCUUAAUCUGAAGAUCUUUCAAUGUCAAAACAAGAAACACUUUUAAUUAUUGUACUUAAUCAAUAUUGGAUGCGAGUUUCGCCAACAUAUGGCUUCCAAUAGUUUUUGCCAAAAGAAAUUUUGUGGAUUGACAUUUCUUUAUACAUGUUUUCUAAGUGCAGUUCAUGUAGAAAUGGUGAUUCAACCACAAUCUCUGAUAACGCGAAAAUGUAUCGUAUAUUUGACUUAAUAUGCACUGCUUUUACUUGAUUAACACUUAGUAUUUUAUGUUUAUUUCAGGUAUUUAUCGAAUAAAAGAUGUAUAGACAAGUAAAGAGGAAAAUAGAAAAAAGAAAAGAAAAAGAGAAGAAAAUGGAGCAAAAUAGGAAUGGUGGGCCCACCACACAUGGAAGCAUGGCGCCCACCACACCAAAUGAAUGGUGGCGCCCACCACUUGGAUAUGUGGCGCCCGUCACAUGGCUUUAGGAAGUGGUGGUGCCCACCUCACACAAUGUGGCGCCCGCCACAAGGCCUUAAGAAGUGGUGGUGCCCAUCUCACAUAAUGUGGCGCCCGCCACGUAGACCACAUUAGGAUUGUGACAGCCGCCAUCAACCCGGUCUUCCUUAUUCUUCUCCACACUUUUUGCCACGACCUUCUCUUACGUUUUCAACUAACCACUCCCCACUAGUAGAUAUCCAAUGCUACGUUUAAGGAGAGUGGGGAGUAUAUAUGGGAAGGUUAGUUUUUACGAAAAGGAUGCAUUUUUCUAGUCAGAUUGUUGUUGUUAGAUUUUUUUUCUUAGGCAGUUUCCUACUUUGGAAAAGUAAUAGAUUCUCCACAUCAGGGACUAUUGCAAUUAUUGUUUAAGUAUCUGAAUUUGAUUGUAACGGUGUACUGGAUUGCCAAAGCAUGACGACAUUGUUUAAUUUGAAGAAUCAGUAUUCAUUCCAAGUUCUCGAUUUAUAUUCCAGGUUUUAUUUUAAUUGCCAUUUUAA
rnacentral:lncRNA from 1 species